rnacentral:rRNA from 1 species
UUCGGGGUACACGAGCGGCGAACGGGUGAGUAACACGUGGGUGAUCUGCCUUGCACUCUGGGAUAAGCCUGGGAAACUGGGUCUAAUACCGGAUAUGACUUCCAGUUGCAUGACUGGGGGUGGAAAGAUUUAUCGGUGCAAGAUGAGCCCGCGGCCUAUCAGCUUGUUGGUGGGGUAAUGGCCUACCAAGGCGACGACGGGUAGCCGGCCUGAGAGGGCGACCGGCCACACUGGGACUGAGACACGGCCCAGACUCCUACGGGAGGCAGCAGUGGGGAAUAUUGCACAAUGGGCGGAAGCCUGAUGCAGCGACGCCGCGUGAGGGAUGACGGCCUUCGGGUUGUAAACCUCUUUCGACUCCGACGAAGCGAAAGUGACGGUAGGAGUAUAAGAAGCACCGGCCAACUACGUGCCAGCAGCCGCGGUAAUACGUAGGGUGCGAGCGUUGUCCGGAAUUACUGGGCGUAAAGAGCUUGUAGGCGGUCUGUCACGUCAUCUGUGAAAACUUGGGGCUCAACCUUAAGCUUGCAGGCGAUACGGGCAGACUAGAGUACUUCAGGGGAGACUGGAAUUCCUGGUGUAGCGGUGAAAUGCGCAGAUAUCAGGAGGAACACCGGUGGCGAAGGCGGGUCUCUGGGAAGUAACUGACGCUGAGAAGCGAAAGCGUGGGUAGCGAACAGGAUUAGAUACCCUGGUAGUCCACGCCGUAAACGGUGGGUACUAGGUGUGGGUUUCCUUCCACGGGAUCCGUGCCGUAGCUAACGCAUUAAGUACCCCGCCUG